GCGUCGCGUCGCGUCGCGUUCCAUUGUUUUUAAGAUUCAGUUCAGUUCUAAAUUCAAAACAUUCAUAUCGUAUGACCCAAGGGAAUGGACCAGGAAGUAGAAGGGAUGUCAUAACAGAAUUCAAGAGGAUAAAGUGUCUAAUAUGUUUCUCAAAUAGAGCAGAUCACAUCUGAUACCUACAAACGAAUUCAUAUAAGAAAACCCUCCGGUAAUGUGGUUCUGUGUCCACAAUGGAAGUUGAAUUUUAGUUGAGACUCAUUUCAUUAUACGGGAAUGAAAAUUUAAACUAA